rnacentral:rRNA from 1 species
GACGAACGCUGGCGGCGUGUUUAACACAUGCAAGUCGAACGCUGAAGCUCAGCUUUUGUUGGGUGGAUGAGUGGCGAACGGGUGAGUAACACGUGAGUAACCUGCCUCCUUCUUUGGGAUAACGCCCGGAAACGGGUGCUAAUACUGGAUAUUCACUGGUCUUCGCAUGGGGGUUGGUGGAAAGGGUUUUUCUGGUGGGGGAUGGGCUCGCGGCCUAUCAGCUUGUUGGUGGGGUGAUGGCCUACCAAGGCUUUGACGGGUAGCCGGCCUGAGAGGGUGACCGGUCACAUUGGGACUGAGAUACGGCCCAGACUCCUACGGGAGGCAGCAGUGGGGAAUAUUGCACAAUGGGCGCAAGCCUGAUGCAGCGACGCCGCGUGAGGGAUGGAGGCCUUCGGGUUGUGAACCUCUUUCGCUCAUGGUCAAGCCGCAACAAUGGUUGUGGUGAGGGGAGUGGGUAAAGAAGCGCCGGCUAACUACGU